AUGGAAAAAGCAAAAUUGAUCCCCACCGCCCAAGAACAGUCAAUAGUUUGUUACGCCAGAGGUUCCGAACAGACAAACACAGGAAUUUUUAUUUGGACUGGGAUUGCCCAGGAAGGGCAGAGGCCACCCGAGCUCUCCCCGCUGCCCCGGAGGGUGCGGGAAUUCCAGGCAGGAAUUUCAGCAGGAAUUUCAGCAGGAAUUUCAACAUGGAAUUUCAGUAGGAAUUCCAGCAUUAAUUCCAUCAGGAAUUCCAACCAGGAAUUCCAACCAAGAAUUCCAGCCAGGAGUUCCAUCAGGAAUUCCAACCAGAAAUUCCAACAGGAAUUCCAACCAGGGAUUCCAGCCAGGAAUUCCAACCAGGAAUUCCAACCAGGAGUUCCAACCAGGAAUUCCAGACAUGAAUUCCAACCAGGAAUUCCAAGCAGGAAUUUCAGCAGGAAUUCCAACCAAGAAUUCCAGCCAGGAGUUCCAUCAGGAAUUCCAACCAGGGAUUCCAGCAGGAAUUUCAGCCAGGAAUUCCAGCCAGGGAUUCCAACCAGGGAUUCCAGCCAGCAAUUCCAUCAGGAAUUCCAUCAGGAAUUCCAGCCAGGGAUUCCAGCAGGAAUUCCAGCCAGGGAUUCCAACCAGGGAUUCCAGCCAGGAAUUUCAGCCAGGAAUUCCAACCAGGGAUUCCAUCAAGAAUUUCAGCCAGGAGUUCCAACCAGGGAUUCCAGCCAGGAAUUCCAACCAGGGAUUCCAACCAGGGAUUCCAGAAGGAAUUCCAGCCAGGGAUUCCAUCAAGAAUUCCAGCCAGGGAUUCCAGCCAGGGAUUCCAUCAGGAAUUCCAACCAGGGAUUCCAUCAGGAAUUCCAGCCAGGAGCGCUCCUGGUGGCUCCAGCACCGAUCCCAACUCUCCGCCAGCCCCGGAUCCUCCCCCGGGGCUCCCCAAAUCCCACCCAAACCGCCCCAAAUUCUCGCUGCAGAAAUGGAGAGCGACCCCCCCAGCCCCGCUGCCCCAGCUUGGGAAAAGGAAAGGGGAAAAAAUGGGGGAAAAAAAGCAGCUUUUGGUUGAAGAAGGCGCGAGGUGAGGGUGGAGCUGGUGGCUCCGGCUGCUGGGCUGGGCUGGAGGGCUCGGCCAGAGGAGGAGACACCACCAGAGCCCAAAAUGAGAAAAUUCCCCCCAUUUCUGGGCUGGGAAUCCACGCCGCGCUCGCUGCCGCUCCUCGGGGCUCCGCUCCCCGCCAGGGCUCGGGCAGGAACACAGAACACGGUAAAUAA
rnacentral:lncRNA from 1 species